AAUGCUUCCUCGGUGAAAGCAAACUACUUAUUCAUAAACGCUUCUUCGGAGAAGUACUUUUUCUCACGGGCAUUGUCUCAAGCUUUCUCGGUUUCUCUUUUGUGCGACACUCUCUCAAACUCAUGCUCUCUCCCUCUCAAUUCUUACACAACAACAACUACGAUGCAGAUUCUCUUGGUCUCGAAUUGGUUGGAUUUGGAUUUCAGAACUGAUUCGAAUUGUUAUCGACUCAGGAUUUGAUUCGCGUUGGGGGUUCAGAAUCUGUUUGUGCUCGAAAUUUCAACUCAGAGCAGUUAAAGUUACAGCAAGCAUACGAUAUCAUAAAGCUGAGAAUGGAGGAAUGCUUACCGGUUGAAGCGACGAGGAGAAGAAAAUGCAGCUUUCGAUCUUGCUCACAAGGAGUAAUUAUCGUGCUAUCGAGCCCUUUUCCAAUUGAUAGAACAGGUUAGUGGAAAUUCUAAUUAAUUUUCCAAUCAUUAUAGUCUAAACUAGUCAGAGACCCGUGCUGUCGCACGGGUGCAUUAUUUGUGAUGUAGUAUUUUUUGAACGAUAGAAAAAUGUGAAGUAAAGUAUUUUGACCAAAUUGCAUAUAUAAAAUGGAAAUUAACCAUUUAAAAAAAGUUUUACUAAUAAGAUAUUAAUAGUAUGAAAAUUAGAUUCUAAGUUAAAAUAAUGAUCCACAAAAAAGUUUAUGGUGAUAAUUUGAUAAGACUGGAUCACUUCAAAAAAAAAGUAUUAUGGUGAUAGUGACUCAUGCAGCCGCACAGAUAAAUUUGUUCAUAUCUUUUAUUUAUAAGGCUUGAUCACUUCAAAAAAAACUAAGUAUUAUGGUGCUAGUGACCCAUGAAAUUAAAAAUUUAAUUAAAAUAUAAGUAUUUUUUAAUUAAAACUAAGUAUUAUGGUGCUAGUGACCCAUGAAUAAAACAAUAUAGAUUUAAUUUAAAUAUAUGUAUGCAAAUUUUAAAUGAAGUGAUAUGUUACAACUUAUACCAUUACUAAUUGGACCUCCCUUCAAAUCAACCCUUAUUACCAGUAUUUUUUAUUUCUAUAAAAAAAAAAUCCAUUCUACACCAUACUACUGCACAAAGAAAUGGACAUGAUGUUGAGUUACAUAUAGAAACCUUAAUCAAAUUUGUGCAUAUAAUUAAAUCAAAUUCUUGCAUUUUAAGUCUAUACCAUCUUGAAUAAAAAGGAAAAGUUUAUAGUCUUCUCAAACCAAAAUGGCAAUAGCCUUAUACAUUAAGGCCAAUGUUUUGUAGACACGCACAUAAUCCCAACACACUUUUGUCACCUUUCCAAUAAAGUAGUUUUUUCAUAGGUUUUGUUUAGUGAAGUAUAUUUUGGCAUGAGUCCCGAAAAAAAGUCUAUUUAUACCGAGUGUGUCAAUUGGGUGUCCACAUACCACCACCCUAAAAUUAAACAAAACACAAGUUACAAAACACACAUGCAGAUUGAGUCAUGAACGGUUGCAAGGUUCGGGAGAAGGGCUUGAAGGCUUAACCUUUUCAACCAUUCUAAUAAUUGUCUACAUAUAAGCUAUGUGUAAUAAGAGAAGUUCCAUGCAAGAUUUACUCCAAUCUUGCUUAACCUUUAGCAGCUGAUAGUAAAAAUUUACAAACAGACCCAUGUAACAAAAACUCAAAGUAGUUAUAAGAUAGCAAGAAACAUGUUUUAUCUGGAAAAAAUAUAUUACUUAAAGGAAUAAGAAUAUAUUGUCCAUAGCAUAGACAGUAAUGAAAAGGAAGACAAUUGUUAGCUUUAGGAGUAUAUAUUGGUCACACCAUGCUGCCUCUGGAAGGCCAAGUCGACACUCCAGAAGCAGCCAGCACCAAAUUGGGCAAACUUUUGAACUGAUGCUGGUCUUUCAUCAUCUGGUCCUUGAGCAAUUGAUGGAUCCAUAUUCUCUAUUGUCCUUGUGGUGCUACCAAACCAAAGUCUGCUCAGCCAGUACAUGGAGAGAUUGUUGACAGCAAUACGCGGACAUGUUUCGGACGAGAAGCAACGACACUUGAUAGCAAAUAUAGAGAGUGGUGAAAGGAUCCUUGUUUAAAAGGACUAUAAAGAGAUGAAGAAAGGAACACCGGAAUAAGGGAACUGGUCCUGGCAGUGAUGCUCCUGUUUUUUGUGCAAGUGAAUGGUGCAAAACAGAUACUGUGAGCUGCAUAGUUACACACACCUAUAACAAUAAAACCAUGCAUUCAUAAAACCAUGCACUCAUACAAUAGAUAUAAAACUGUGCAUAAACUUAGAAAAGAAAUGCAUAAAACUGAAGAAUCAAAUAGACAAAUGCCUAUAAAUCGAAUCACAAUUAAACUAUAGUAGAACCCGUAAUUGAGUCGAAACUGAAAAAAUGCAAGAAUUCCAAAACGCAACCAAUUCUGAACAGACAACGUAAAUCAAAUUCUGAACUGGAAUAAAACUCAAUUUGAAAUCGAAACAAACUUGUACCGAAAAUUUGGCUCGAAUGCAAAAUCUGAACCGUGAAAUAGCUCUGCUAGAAUCCAAACUUUGCAACAGAAAACCUUCGCGAACCCCAAACAUAACCGUGAAGCUCAAAUAGAACCACAAAAUCGAAAUUGAAACAACAUCAAAAUCGUUUACAUAAUCAAUAAUUUGAAUCUCACUCGUUCGCACUUAACCACUUAAACAUAUUCAUGUGAUAUAAGUUAAGUUCUCAAUACAUAAGUUUUAACAAAAUGUAAUUUUUUAACUUUAAACAAUGUAAUUUGUGAUGAGCAAUCCACUUUCUGAAUAAUUUGCAUUUUAUUGAAAAUGGAGUUAUAAACUUAAAAAAAUGACAUUAUGAAUAAAAAGAACCAUUUCUAUUUUUUAUAGUUAAAGAAACCAAAUAAAAUAUAAAUGAGUUAAUUCCUGUAAAAGUAAAGCACUAUGGAAUGAUUUAGAAUAUGAGUCAAUUCCUGUCAAAUAUGCUAAAACUUCAGUAUGAGAUGAAAUAUCAGCACAAGAGUAAAUUUCUUCACCAGAGAUACAUACCCAAUAAUUCUUCACCAGAUAUACAUCAUUACUCCCGUCGAAUCAUAUGUUAGCCACAUAAGAAUGCAAAGACACAAUCACUUCUGAUUAGCCUCUCAAUUACUCCACCAACAGGGCCUCACUUGCACAAAUAUAUGCCAAGUAAUCAAAACUCCCAGCAGCAAUACAAAGCAAUGCCUCAAUAGAGUAAGAUAACUAAGGAAUACCAACAGUAGUAGACCAGUAGUAAAUAACACACACACACACACACACACAUAUAUAUAUAUAUAUAUGCAUAAAAGGUGGUAAGAAAUCAUGACAUUAUUGAAAGAAGCGUUUUUGCUAACCAAUCAAACCCACCUGAUUCCAUGUCGAAUUGGAGUCAGAGCUAAAGGUGGUAAGGGCAUCUCAAUAUCUUUGUCGACAGCACUAAGAAUGACACUCUUUUCAUUAUUUUUUAUGCCGCGUUAUCUUAUUGAACUCGAUAGUUUUACAUUUCUCAUGAAAUUAUUUUAUAAAAGAAUGACCUCAUUAUCCACCCUUUGAAUAUACAUAUAGUCAGGAUCAAACAUUGAGAAAGCUAGCCCGGUUAUCUGCAGUAUUAAUGAAGACAUAGUUAAUUCAUUUGUAAAUAGAUGCAACAGUAAAUAUUAAAAAAUGAUUUUCAAAUUGAACUGAGGAAAUCAACUUAAGCAUGGCGAGGAUUAAUUGUAAAUAAGUUUUAUCAUUUCUUUGGUGAUUGAUUGUGUAGAAAGAUCAAGGAUGAGUGUAUUAUUAAAAGUUAAACCUUACCUCAAAUUUUUAACAAUGCACAUGACCAUCUAUAUGAAGGAGAGCACGUUGAUGGUGAUUAUCUUUAUCUCGGUGGCUGAAAAUUGUGUCUUUAGUAGAAACAUUAUCAUCCGAUUUAUUAAUCCGGUAUCAAAACCUAAUGUAAUAUUAUAACUAAUGAAUUUUCUAAAACUGAAAAAUAAAUUAGAGCUGUAUCAAAACCAAAUGUAGUAUUUUCCAUACCUAGUUUCCAAACAAUAUAAGGGUAGGAAGCUUCAAAAGUCUUGAAAUUUCAAACUGCAGCUCACAUAGUUGUUGGCAGUACCGUUCCAAUAGCAAGAUCAAUAUCUUCAUUUGUAUGAUGGUCAUCAAUAUGUAUGUCACAUGUAGCCUUUACAUGUACGUCGAACAGUCUCUGAGAUGGAAGUUGCUUAAAAAUCAAAACCAAGUUUGUUCCUAUAAAUGGUAUAUCCAUUCAACAUUGUUUACUUUUAACUAUAUAGCUAAUAUGUUUUGGACAGUGAUUUCUUAUUCAAACUGAAAAGAAAUUCAUAUAUAAAAUUUAGAAUUCCUUAUGUCAUAAGAAAAUGACAGCAAAUUUAAUGGACAUUGAUAUAUUCUUUCAUUAACAUAGCUAAGAGUAGAGACAAACUUGAUAAUGACAGCAAAUUUAAUGACUUAAUAAUGCUUGAGGUGGCUUCAUGUGCAGCGUUGGUGAGGUUAAUAUAAUUCCUUUCACCAUGACUUCAAUUCCUUUCACCAAGACUUCAAUUCCUUCUAGUGUGACUUCAAUAUGUAUGUGUGAUGUCGCCUGCAUACAAAAUACCGAAAUUAAAAUUCAACCGAUAGAUUUCAUAACAGAGAGGUUUCUAAGAUUUCUGUCUUACUUUAAACACCACAACACAUAUAAUGAAGUGACCAAAGAGGUAUCUCUGAUUAAAUAUUUUUCAAGAAAGCUGUCUGUUUACAUUAUCAUCAUUAAUAUGCAAAGUACAAAGUCAAAUAACGAAAUGUCACUUGAAAAAGCAUUGUUACUGUCCAUUUCUCUAACACCGUCAAAAUAAGAAAUGUCACUUGAAAAAGCAAUGAACCCCUCAAAUCAACUAAAUUAUUUCAUUAUCCUGAGCAGUGUACAACUCAAAUCAACUAUAAAAAGGGAAAAUCAAAACCAAAAAGUCAUUGAAGCCAGUGUUAAUCGAGUUAGCAGCAAAGUUAUAAAAAUGGAAUGACCCAAAGGCAAGUUUGCAAGGAAAUCAAAACCUGAAAAACAAAAACAACAUGGAAACCAAAAAGAAAGGGAAAUCGCGCACAAAAUGAAUGGAAAAUCGUGCAGAAACUUACCUUGAGUUAACUUCAUCCAUGUUGAAGUAAAAGCCCGGAAAAAUUGAAGAAGAAAAUAGAAACAACAUUAAAUAUGGAUUACAAAGUCAUCUGUGAACCAUGGUUAACGCUUGUUGUCGGCGGCAGGAUUUUAGGGUUUGAGGAAAAAAGAGGGAGAAGAGAGUCUACGGGAGAGAGAGGGGAAAGAUAGUGCUAUGAGAAAGAGAAAGUGUCUGAAUUAAGGGUAAGGUUGGGUUGGAGGGAAAAAUAUAUUUUAAAGUGGACCAAUGAAAACCAAACACAUGGGGUUUGUAUAUUGAAAGUAGUAUGCUAUUUUGUUAGUUACGAAUUUGCCCUUUUGUAUGUGUAAUAAAAUGUUGAGAAAAGGAUAUUUUGGGAUGUUUGGUCAAUUGAUUAGUAGAUAGUAGAUAGUAGAAUAGUAGAAUAGUAGAAUAGUAGAUAGUAGAUAGAUAGUAGAUAGUAGAUAGAUAGUAGAUAGAUAGUAGAUAGUAGAUGGACAUUAAUAAAUUUGUUGCUUUGCUUUCAUUUCAAAUUUUCAAGUUAGUGCCUUCAUACACCAAGGAAAUGAUAAACAUUGAAGAUUAUUCCCACCGCAUAGAAAAGUUGCAUGCCGUACUAUACUUUAUAAACAACUAAUAUGUUAAGAUUAGAAGUCUUUGAAAAGGGAUGCUAAGUUGCCUGAGAACAAUGAGAAAUGCUCCUGAGCUGACCUUUCAUGGGAGAGGGGGUGAAUAUAUUUUUAUGGGAUUUCAACAAGUAGAACUCUAGCCUUAGCAAAGUAUUUUGAGAGAAUAGAAGAGAGAACUCUAACCUGCAGUCCAAUAGGUUGACUGGUAGAUUACCUCAUAAGCUUGGAAAUUUGAGAUACCUUCAAGAACUUUGGCUUGAUAGGAACAAGCUUCAAGGACCCAUUUUGGAUCAGUUUUCUUCAGGUACAUACACACUUUCCAUUUCCGUAUUUGCUUACUUUUGAACUAGAGUUUCUGUUUUAACGUUUUACACCUUCAAUUAAGAUUUCUGCUGCAGUAAGCACUGAUCCUAGCUAUGAUAAGUACAAAAAGGCCUUACAGGCAGAAGGUUACCUAGCUGAGAGCCAGCAACAUGGUAAGUCAGGCUGCAAUUUGACGAGGCUGCUGAUUCGGUUGAGAAACAACAUUCGGCUAAUUGACCGGUUUAGAUUUCGAAAUAGAAUUUUCAAUGGUGUGUUCUUUAAGUAAGAAAUUGAUUGAGUUUUUCUUACUUUAGUUGUAUUCUUGUUAUGUUGUGAUUAUUGGCCUCAUGGGCAGCAUGCGGUGGUUUUGGCCGAAGAUGCGGCAAAAUUCAUGGGAAAGGCAGACUGUCAAAAUAUUAGUGGAUCACAGCAAAUUUACUUGACAUUUCCAGCUGCUAGCACUUUCUCUAAAGAUAAUGUAUCAAACUACUUUAGGUACAUUGUUAUAUAACUCUUAUCGUGUCUAUUAUCGGUUUUGUGUUAGAAAAUUCUAACUGUUUUAACGUUUUUGUUUAACUAUGUAUAACAUUCUGGAUACUAUUCUCUUUGCUUUGCCCAAUCUAUUCACAAAACCAAGCCAUGGCAAAGUGAUUUGUUAGAGGAUAGUCUUAGAGCUGCUGGCAUUCAAGGAGUAGAAGCUGAAGCAAAGUUGUAUGUUUCUGAGCUUAGAGACUUGAAGCGAUAUGUUGUUCAUUAUGACAGAAGACACUCAACUCUUUGUUCAACGUGCUUCUGGGUUAUGAUGAACUUAUGCCGGUUAGCCAACAUGGAACCAAUGGAUUGGGGGGAUUAGGGGCAACAGUAGUGGAUGCUCUUGAUACAGCUAUGAUAAUGGGUAUUGACGAAGUCGUUGCUGAAGCGGGAUCCUGGGUUGAAGAAAAUCUUUCUGAGAGAAUUAGCAAUAAAGGCCAAGUAAAUUUAUUUGCAAAUUAUAACAGUUCUUAAGUAGUUACACCAAUUAGUUAUUGUUUAAUAUAGACUUAACCACUAGCUUGUAGUGAGAUUUGAACUUAAUGUUAUUGUUUAUUGUCCUGUUCUGCUAUGGAUAUUAAUAUCGUGUGUAUAUAAAUAAUUUUUUAU